CUUAUCAGGUCCGGACAUACCGAGGAUUGACAGGUUCUUAUAAGAUUUAUAUAUAUAAUUUAUUAUAUUUAUAACUUUUCUUAUAUCAAAUAUGCUAGUCCUUUCAUGAUUGUGUGAUAGGUGGUGCAUGGCCGUUCUUAGUUCGUGGAGUGAUCUGUCUGCUUAAUUGCGUUUCACAAAAAAAGGACACAUAUUAGAUACUUUGUUUGCACAUAAAGUUUGUUGCUUUACUCUUCGGAGUACUGCACCUUUAUUGUUGCACGGUAUCUUUAUAUAAUGUGUUCUGAAGGCAACGAACGUGACCGCAACAUCUUGUUGCAAUUUCUUUUUUUGUAAUUUAUUACUUAAAAUUUACAAUUGCUAACUAGAUGGACCGCUGGCUCUUUUCUAAACAGAGGAAGGUUGCGGCAAUAACAGGUCUGAAAUGCCCUCAGAUGUUCUGGGCUGCACACGUGCUACAAUGAUUAUUGCAGUAAGCAUCUAUUAUGUAGACAGAUAUUUUUCUAUAUUUUAUAUAGUUUAAUUGUGCUGUUGAAAGUACAGUCUCUUGAUCUAAUUUAUUUUAGGUUAUUGUAUGACAGUACUUGUUUAACCUACUUUGAAAGUGAGUAGGUAAUCAAUUCGAAGUAAUGAUUUCCCUUUGCAUAUUAUAUUGUUUCAUGAUUGUAGUCUUAAAUAUAUUUAUUUAUGUUUUUGUACUACCUUGAAGCAUAUGCUCCAUUAUUUCAUGGUUGGAACAGACCAUUGUUAAUUGUUGGUCUCGGUCUCAACUAGGAAUGCCCUGUACGGGUCUUGGUUCAUCAAACCACCCGGAAUAUGUCCCUGCCCUUUGUACACACCGCCCGUCGCUCUUACCGAUGGACUAUUCUGUGAGUAUACAGGAAGGGAUUUCUAUGUAAUUUAUUAUAUUGAAAUCUAUACGAAUGUACGCGAACAGUGUGGUCUAAAGGAAAGAGAAGUCGUAACAAGGCAUCAGUAGGUGAACC
rnacentral:rRNA from 1 species